rnacentral:lncRNA from 10 species
GUAAAACACAUUCUAAAUCCUAAUAUAUCUAUUCCUUUAAUAUGCCACUUGAAGUACAAUAGUGCAAACAAAAACACAUAAUGGGUUCCUCUUGAGAGAAAGGAAAAUGUAUUCACUUCUGAUGAAAGAUCUUUUGAUAAUUCACUCUUGGCUUCACCACUUGAUUUAUAUCAUCUUCCCACAUUAAUUUGUUUUUAAUUUUUUCUGCCUUCUAAGGUUUUUCUCAUUUCAGUGACAUAUACGUGACAGAUGAGGUUGAUGAACUACAGAAAUACAGAUUCUAACUCAGAUGAAAAGCUUAAAUUAUUCUGCAGUCCCAUCGAAUUCAAGAAAGAAACUGAGAAGUCGGGAUUUCCAAGGGCUUUGAAACAAAUUUUCGAAACAAGUGAUGAAAUCAACAACGGUCAAAGAAACAUGAAAACGUGCAAUGCAGAAGUAUGAUUUUGGGGAAGCCACCGUCAUUCAUCUUGAAUCAAGAGAGAGAAGCUUCCAAGGAGUGAAGCAAACACCCAGGAAGAGAAGUUGAGAAAUGCAAAGAGUAUAAAGACACGUCCUGGGAAUUUCUUUUGAGCUGUCGUUAAAGCACUACGUGAAAUUAUUCUCAAUCACUAAAGCAAUAAAUUAUCUAUGUUAAUUAAGCUUGUUUGAGUUGUUUCUACUACUUUUAAACAAAAGCAUUCUGUUAAAAAUAGUAAUCUUGCAUCUUUCAAUCCUUAACUCAGAUGUAAAACACAACAAAAAACAGAAAUGAAACCAAAGUAGCAAUAUUUCUACACAGGUGUUAACUUCUUCUGACUUUCUGCCUAACUCAUAUAUCCUGGGUGCAUGCAAUACCUAAUUUUAAUUGCUUAUGCUGCCUCAACAUAGUUAAAGCCAUAUACACC